rnacentral:rRNA from 1 species
ACUCCUACGGGAGGCAGCAGUGGGGAAUUUUGGACAAUGGGCGCAAGCCUGAUCCAGCAAUGCCGCGUGAGUGAAGAAGGCCUUCGGGUUGUAAAGCUCUUUUGUCAGGGAAGAAACGGCUGUGGCUAAUAUCCACGGCUAAUGACGGUACCUGAAGAAUAAGCACCGGCUAACUACGUGCCAGCAGCCGCGGUAAUACGUAGGGUGCAAGCGUUAAUCGGAAUUACUGGGCGUAAAGCGUGCGCAGGCGGUUUUGUAAGUCUGACGUGAAAUCCCCGGGCUCAACCUGGGAAUUGCGUUGGAGACUGCAAGGCUAGAAUCUGGCAGAGGGGGGUAGAAUUCCACGUGUAGCAGUGAAAUGCGUAGAGAUCUGGAGGAAUACCGGUGGCGAAGGCGGCCCCCUGGACAAAGACUGACGCUCAGGCACGAAAGCGUGGGGAGCAAACAGGAUUAGAUACCCUGGUAGCGAGUAG